rnacentral:rRNA from 1 species
UACGGAGGGGGCGAGCGUUAUUCGGAAUUAUUGGGCGUAAAGGGCGCGUAGGCGGCUGUACAAGUCAAAGGUGAAAUCCCUCGGCUCAACUGAGGAACUGCCUUUGAAACUGUACGGCUUGAGGCCGGGAGGGGGUAGCGGAAUUCCCAGUGUAGCGGUGAAAUGCGUAGAUACUGGGAGGAACACCAGUGGCGAAGGCGGCUACCUGGACCGGUACUGACGCUGAGGCGCGAAAGCGUGGGUAGCAAACAGG